rnacentral:rRNA from 1 species
UCGGCCGUACCAUGCUGAAUAUACCGGUUCUCGUUAGAUCACCGAAGUUAAGCAUCAUUGGGCGUGGUCAGUACUUGGGUGGGUGACCACCUGGGAACACUGCGUGCCGUU